rnacentral:rRNA from 1 species
GCGGUUCGCUGCCCGCGACGUCGCGAGAAGUCCACUGAACCUUAUCAUUUAGAGGAAGGAGAAGUCGUAACAAGGUUUCCGUAGGUGAACCUGCGGAAGGCUCAUUGUCGAAGCCUGCAAAUCAGACCGCGAACACGUGCUUAUACGAUCGGGGCAUCGACUCGUCGAGCGCUCCGCUCUCGCUCGGCGCUUGCGUCGGGCGGGAUAACGAACCCCGGCGCGGCACGCGCCAAGGAAAACUCAAAAGAAGCGUCGUCCCCAAGAUUGCCCGUUCGCGGUGCUUCUUGGGUACGUUGCGCCUCUCGAAUGUCUAAACGACUCUCGGCAACGGAUAUCUCGGCUCUCGCAUCGAUGAAGAACGUAGCGAAAUGCGAUACUUGGUGUGAAUUGCAGAAUCCCGUGAACCAUCGAGUCUUUGAACGCAAGUUGCGCCCGAAGCCUUCUGGCCGAGGGCACGCCUGCCUGGGCGUCACGCAUCGCGUCGCCCCACUCCNCAUCCCUGCGGAUUCGCGAGUGGCGCGGAAAAUGGUCUCCCGUGUGCAUCUUUGCCCGUGGUUGGCCUAAAUAAGAUCCCGCAUCGAUGGAUGUCACGACCAGUGGUGGUUGAAAACUCAAUCGGCUAUCGUGCGUCGCAACAUCGGUUGUUGGGUAUCGAUUCGACCCAUCGGCGCUCAACGUGCCUUCGACCGCGACCCCAGGUCAGGCGGGAUCACC